rnacentral:rRNA from 1 species
UACGAAGGGGGGCUAGCGUUGCUCGGAAUUACUGGGCGUAAAGCGCACGUAGGCGGUCUUUUAAGUCGGGGGUGAAAUCCUGGAGCUCAACUCCAGAACUGCCUUCGAUACUGGAAGACUUGAGUCCGGGAGAGGUGAGUGGAACUGCGAGUGUAGAGGUGAAAUUCGUAGAUAUUCGCAAGAACACCAGUGGCGAAGGCGGCUCACUGGCCCGGUACUGACGCUGAGGUGCGAAAGCGUGGGGAGCAAACAGGG